rnacentral:rRNA from 1 species
UAAGUUUUAUUCUUAUUUUAGUGCUUUGUUAAUUUAUUUUAUUUAAAUUAAUUUAUAUAGAAGGGGUAAAAGAAAUGUUUGAUUUCAGCUUAAUUUUUUACGUUAUUAUUAAAAUUGUAUGAAAGCUAAGGCGUGAUAUAAAUAAUUUAAUUAAAUAUUAAAUUAGUUAAAAAGUAAAGGUAAAUUAUGAAACUUUAUAGUCUCAGCAUAAAAUAUUAUAAGCAAUAUAUUAAAGUAUGAUAUAGUAGUAAUAAUCUAAGUCUGAUUAAUAUUUGUGCCAGCAUUCGCGGUUAUACUUUAAGAUUAAGUAAAAAUUCAAGGUUAUAGUUAAAUAGGUAAUUAAUAAAAUAUAUAAGUAAUAAAGGGUAAAAUCGGAAUAUUAUUUUGUAUAAAAAAAAAAUUCUAAUUGAAGCUAAAAAAGUUUAGUAAUAAACUAGGAUUAGAUACCCUAUUAUUCUAAAAUAAAAUAAUCUAGACCAAAUUAGUAAGAGAUAAAUACUUAAAAUUUAAAAAAUUUGGCGGCAAUUUAAUCUUUUCAGAGGAACCUGUUUUGUAAUCGAUAAACCACGAAAAAUCUUACUUGUUCUUGUAAAUAAAACAGUUUGUAUACCAUCAUUAUCAGAUAAUUCUUAGAGGAGAAAUUAUUAAAUUUGGUUGUUUAGUUAAAUUAGAUCAU